ACUCCUACGGGAGGCAGCAGUGGGGAAUAUUGGACAAUGGGCGCAAGCCUGAUCCAGCCAUGCCGCGUGUGUGAAGAAGGCCCUCGGGUUGUAAAGCACUUUCAGUGAGGAAGAAAGCUUGUCGGUUAAUACCCGGCAAGGACGACAUCACUCACAGAAGAAGCACCGGCUAACUCCGUGCCAGCAGCCGCGGUAAUACGGAGGGUGCGAGCGUUAUCCGGAUUUAUUGGGUUUAAAGGGUCCGUAGGCGGAUUAAUAAGUCAGUGGUGAAAUCCCAUCGCUUAACGAUGGAACUGCCAUUGAUACUGUUAGUCUUGAAUGAGGGUGCAGUGGUUGGAAUGUGUAGUGUAGCGGUGAAAUGCAUAGAUAUUACACAGAACACCGAUUGCGAAGGCAGAUCACUAACCCUAAAUUGACGCUGAGGGACGAAAGCGUGGGGAGCGAACAGGAUUAGAUACCCUGUAGGCUCUG
rnacentral:rRNA from 1 species